rfam:Oryza meridionalis cultivar OR44 (W2112) chromosome 6, whole genome shotgun sequence.
AAAAAGACAAACCCUAGAUUUUCGUAUCCAACGUUUGACUGUUCGUUUUAUAUGAAAUUUUUUUAUAAUUAGUAUUUUUAUUAUUGUUAGAUGAUAAAACAUGAUUAAUACUUUAUGUGUAACUUGUCUUUUUAUUUUUUUCAUAAUUUUUUUAAAUAAGACGGACGGUUAAAUAUUGGACACGAAAAUCUAUGAUUUGUCUUUUU